GUGGAGCUGCCCAGAGCAGUUGGUUCAGGAGGCGCGACAUGGGACGCGUUGGGAAAGAGCCGGGGUGCUGACUGCCGCAGGCGAGGAGCGAGGACCGGGGCAUAAUUUGAAUCAAAAUCUUCCGGCACGGGGCUGGAGGAUCUCCACCUUGCGAACUUUUCCUGGUGAACCCGACACAGCUGGUCUGGCUGAGGGGCUCCUAGUCCACUUUCACAAUCAGCAGGUCAUAAGGAUCAUCUGUGGCUCUGAUGAAAAAGCCAGACUCCUAGGCUGCUUCCCCGGAGAUUUCAGACGCCGAUUCUUAACCAAACAUCUUGCACCCAAAACUCCAGCUCAGAAUCUCCUCCAGGAGAACCCAACCUGCAACAGGACUCAAAAGCAACCAUGGUGGUGUGGAGAGGGGGCUUCAGCCGUGGCAAUUAACUUUGCUAAGGGGCGCACACGGGCGAAGGGAGGCGUGCAUCACAUGAAAUCAUGCUCCUAAGGAAGCCUUGGCCGACUCAAGCGCGGUAGACACCUAAACAUUUAAAUCACCUUUUCCUAUUGAUUAAGGAGGACAACCUAAGACCUCGUGAGAGCAACCCUUGGCUGACAGCUAACGAGAAAACAGAACCCUCAGUUCUGUGACUGCAAGGAACCGACUUCUGUAAACACCUGGACAAGUCUGGAGGAAGACGCCAAACUAAGCUGUGGCCAACACCUUGAUUUCAACCACAUGGGACCCUGAGCAUAGAACCCAGCUAUGCUGGCUCCAGACUUUAGAGCCAUGAAAACCGUGA
rnacentral:lncRNA from 1 species